rnacentral:sRNA from 1 species
GUCACGCCCGAAGUCGUUACCUCAACCGCAAGGAGGGGGAUGCCUAAGGCAGGGCUAGUGACUGGGGUGAAGUCGUAACAAGGUAGCCGUACCGGAAGGUGUGGCUGGAUCACCUCCUUAAAGGGAGACCUAAUUCCGGUAGGAGACGAAAAAAAAGUAGUCGCUACCAAGAAUCAAUCCCAAAAGGUCGGAGCGAGGCAAAAUUGGCUUUCAAACUAGGUUCUGGGUUCACACAAGACCUGAAUCAGGAACAAGGGCUAUUAGCUCAGGUGGUUAGAGCGCACCCCUGAUAAGGGUGAGGUCCCUGGUUCGAGUCCAGGAUGGCCCACCUGUACAGGUGGCAAAAACAAGAGAAGCGAGGAAUCAGCACCUUAUCUUACUGACAUAGUAAGAGAGAAUGCUGGCUCUGAGUAAAGAGUCCAGAGGAACCUUGAAAACUGCAUAGAGCUAGGUGAAAAAGCCAAAAAAGAAGACCGCAAGGUCAAGCUAAUAAGGGCUAACGGUGGAUACCUAGGCACACAGAGG